rnacentral:rRNA from 1 species
UACGGAGGGAGCUAGCGUUGUUCGGAAUUACUGGGCGUAAAGCGCGCGUAGGCGGCUUUGUAAGUUAGAGGUGAAAGCCCGGAGCUCAACUCCGGAACUGCCUUUAAGACUGCAUCGCUUGAAUCCAGGAGAGGUGAGUGGAAUUCCGAGUGUAGAGGUGAAAUUCGUAGAUAUUCGGAAGAACACCGGUGGCGAAGGCGGCUCACUGGACUGGUAUUGACGCUGAGGUGCGAAAGCGUGGGGAGCAAACAGG